rnacentral:rRNA from 1 species
AUCGAUAAUCCGCGUUAANUUUUACUUCAAUUACACAAUUUAUAUACCGCCAUCUAAAGAAUUAAUUAUAAAAUAUUUUUCCAAGAAAUAAAUAAAAAGUUAGGUCAAGGUAUAAUUUAUAUUAAAGAAUGAGAUGAAUUACAUUAAAUAAAAUUUAAAGAUUGUAAAUAUAUAUAUUUAUAUAAAUAAGGAUUUAAAAGUAAUAUUUAAACAAUAUUAUAAUAUGAUAAAAUAAAAAAUGUGCACACAUCGCCC